GAUGAACGCUGACAGAAUGCUUAACACAUGCAAGUCAACUUGAACUUCGGUUUGGGUGGCGGACGGGUGAGUAACGCGUAAAGAACUUGCCUCACAGCUAGGGACAACAUUUGGAAACGAAUGCUAAUACCUGAUAUUAUGAUUAUAUGGCAUCGUAUAAUUAUGAAAGCUAUAUGCGCUGUGAGAGAGCUUUGCGUCCCAUUAGCUAGUUGGAGAGGCAACAGCUCACCAAGGCGAUGAUGGGUAGCCGGCCUGAGAGGGUGAUCGGCCACAAGGGGACUGAGACACGGCCCUGACUCCUACUGGAGGCAGCAGGGGGGAAUAUUGGACAAUGGACCGAGAGUCUGAUCCAGCAAUUCUGUGUGCACGAUGAAGUUUUUCGGAAUGUAAAGUGCUUUCAGUUGGGAAGAAAAAAUGACGGUACCAACAGAAGAAGUGACGGCUAAAUACGUG
rnacentral:rRNA from 1 species